UACGUAGGGUGCGAGCGUUAAUCGGAAUUACUGGGCGUAAAGCGUGCGCAGGCGGUUUUGUAAGCCAGAUGUGAAAUCCCCGGGCUUAACCUGGGAAUGGCAUUUGGGACUGCAAGGCUGGAGUUUGGCAGAGGAGACUGGAAUUCCCGGUGUAGCAGUGAAAUGCGUAGAUAUCGGGAGGAACAUCAGUUGCGAAGGCGGCUCUCUGGACCAUCACUGACACUGAGGCACGAAAGCGUGGGGAGCAAACAGG
rnacentral:rRNA from 1 species